rnacentral:lncRNA from 1 species
AGCAAAACAGGAAUCUAGACCAAUCUGUAUGCAGAUACAAUGCUUCAAGUUCAUUACUGUUAUUAGGAAAUGGAAAUACAGCCAGAGUAGAAAUAACAGUCUAUUUCUCUCUGCCUGUGUUGUAUUUUUGUCAAUGGGGCUUCUGAAGGACUACACGUGCAUUUACUAACCCAUUAGAAUGAGUGAUUUUAUAUCCUAAUGUAGAAUUAAAGGAAUUUAAGGAUCUGCCUAGGAAAUACACUUGUUUAAACCUAAAUUAAUGUCUCUAUUAGUUGUGUUGGCUAGGUCAGUGGUAUAUUACUGGAAAAGAAAAUGUCCCAGCCCUGUGUGUGCUUUCUAAAAUCUCAGUGUAUUUCUUUUCUGACAAGAUAGAGGGCUGAUUUUCUUCUCCUCUGUCCAAAAUAUAAAACACAGGGACAACAUAACUAUUCUUAAAUGCAAAACAUCACAUCAAAUCUUUAUCAAAAAAAUCUCAUUCCUAUUACGGCAUUCUCCAUUUUUCUGUGAGGCCUCUCCCAGCUCUCAUCUUUGAGGCCAGUCAUUUCUUUUCCUUAGGCCCAACCAGCAGUAUUUGCUGUGGUAUUUACCAGGGCCUCCCCUAGGUUGUGCGGGAUCCUGGGCAAGUCUUCUUUUGUGGGGCCUCUGUCCCUGUUAACAAUUUGAUUGAAACACGUGUUAAAAAAUGCAUGGGCCACUGAGAGGCAUUGAUUUAUCAGUGAAGAUUUAGAAUCAUGGGUAGAAGAGAUACUUAUGUACUUAUUUCUUCUCCCGUCAGUGCUUGUGAAGCACCUCCUUCUCUCCAGACACCACCUCUUCCCGUCCAAGUCUAGGAGCCAUCUCCUCAUUGUGUUUAUUGCCAAAAGCACCCGUCCUUGAUAAUUCUACACCCCUGCCCACCGUUGUCACCCAGGACACAUGACUCUUUGGAACCUGUUUGUAUCAAAACAAUACAGCUCAUCUUGCCUUUGAGGCUUCCCCGGUCCACGUACUGAGGGCGGGCUCUACUGUGGUACCUCCCUCAAGUGGUUCAGGAACACCGGCCUCCAGGGAUAAUCUCAAAGGCGUUACUGUGCUUUGUUGAUGAUAAUGACAAAUGCACCCCUUCCCAGAGAAUGCAGUGACACUCGGAUGAUUGCGGUCAUGUAGUCAAUGUAUUAGUUUCACGUCAUCAGGACAGGACAGAGCGCCUUCCAGCUGCAUCUUGAGCUCUUUUGAUGCUCAUCCCUGUGCCCUCUCUCAGGGUCGAUCACAGCUUUGCUGUCAUAACUCAGGGGCAGGGCGAGGUGAGAGGAGUGGGCCAUCAGUGUAGGAGGACCCACCCCUUAUCCUGCGGGGCUUCACACGCACCUGGAAAGGACAACUAGACAGGAUUCCUACUGGAUUUACUGCUCUUUCUAGAAAAAAUGCCAACCUAAAGGUUUGCAGACCGUCUUCUUGAGUUAUCCCAGAAACAAUCCAUCAGGUCUUCUGAGAUAACUGGGAACCUUGACAAAUAAAAAUAGUGUCCUGGAUGUCCCAGCCACUGUGCAUGUGUGUGUAUGUCAACAGUUGGAAGUGCCGAGCGGUUUUCAUAAUUUUCUGCACCCGUUUGUGAGGUGUACUUUGGUGCUGAUUUUAUUUUUCCUAUGUGAAAGGGGUGUUGAUGUAGAGUAGGCUGUGUGUGUUGGGGGGCAGGGAGUAUGUGGGAACACUCUGUACUUUUAGCUCAAUUUUACUGUGAACCUAAAACAGCUUAAAAAAAAAAAAACAAACAAACCCAAACUGUUUAACAGGAAAGACAAACAAAAGGACUGGCUGGAAGAGUGUGAUGUCACCACGUUGACUGAGAGUGGGAGAGGGUGGUUUAAAAAGCCUCACACUGUUAUGGGGCAAUGGUCUGGAAAGCUCUCAGAGGAUAUGGGUGUAGUCACCCAUGUGGCGUGGAGACUACAGAAGAGUUGGGGUGACCCCCCUGCAUGCCAGGGUCUGGCCACCACCCCAGCUGCCCCUGGGUGCUGUGGACCAGAGGCAGCACUGUGGGUGGAACACAGAGCCAGUCCAUAGAUUCAUACACCUGUCCAAGAGUUGCCGUGGUCCUUCGGGAGCUCAGAGCCCUGAACUUGUCCGGAGUCUGACAUAAGUGAGAAUCUCCAAAAUCGUCAUGUCAGCACCAUUCUGACAACCUGGUGUCAUGCAAACCUUUGAGACCAAAAUGGCAGGACGCGGUCAUGGGUUUGUAACUUCAAAUAAAACCAGGACUGGGGUUCAGGGUGGGGGCAGGGGCACUGGAUGGAGAUCCCACCCGACCUGGGAGUGGGAUCAGGGUGGACACUCAGAGCAAAACAGAACACGACUCCAGACAAGUCCUCUCCGCUGGGACCACCCCUUUGCUGGGUGUGAUCUUUCAGGGUCUUUGCUGUUUGCCUUAGAUCCCUAGGGAAGCUUUAACUCAGGUAACAGAAAACCCCCACGUUUCAGUGGCUGGACCUGAUGGAAUCUGCUUUCUGGUAAAAAUCCAGCAGGGGCGUCCUGGCUGCCAGGCAAUGUCCAGGACCCAGGCGUCUCCCUUGGUGGAGCCUAAGGCUGUGGCUGCCUCUGCAUCUGGAUGGGGGUUGGGGGCAGGGCAAAGGGAUGGAGAUGGGCCUCUUAACACCCAGGAAGUUGAUGAGAACGAAGCCCCUUGCCCUCCUCCGUGUCCCAGAACCCUGGAGGGUGCUCUCUUGAAAGGAGUUCCAGUCGUGGCGCAGUGGUUAACGAAUCCGACUAGGAACCAUAAGGUUGCGGGUUCAGUCCCUGCCCUUGCUCAGUGGGUUAACGAUCCGGCGUUGCGGUGAGCUGUGGUGUAGGUUGCAGAUGCGGCUCGGAUCCCGCGUUGCUGUGGCUGUGGUGUAGGCCGGUGGCAACAGUUCCCUAGCCUGGGAACCUCCAUAUGCCGCGGGAGCGGCCCAAGAAAUA